rnacentral:pre_miRNA from 1 species
UGGGCUUCCAAGUCUACCCAGCACUUAAAAAAGUGGCUGGCAAGACUAUGGCAGUCCACU